AGAGUUUGAUCCUGGCUCAGAACGAACGCUGGCGGCAGGCUUAACACAUGCAAGUCGAACGCCCCGCAAGGGGAGUGGCAGACGGGUGAGUAACGCGUGGGAAUCUACCUAGUUCUACGGAACAACAGUUGGAAACGACUGCUAAUACCGUAUACGCCCUACGGGGGAAAGAUUUAUCGGAAUUAGAUGAGCCCGCGUAAGAUUAGCUAGUUGGUGGGGUAAUGGCCUACCAAGGCGACGAUCUUUAGCUGGUCUGAGAGGAUGAUCCGCCACACUGGGACUGAGACACGGCCCAGACUCCUACGGGAGGCAGCAGUGGGGAAUAUUGGACAAUGGGCGCAAGCCUGAUCCAGCCAUGCCGCGUGAGUGAUGAAGGCCUUAGGGUUGUAAAGCUCUUUCAGUAGGGAAGAUAAUGACGGUACCUACAGAAGAAGCCCCGGCUAACUUCGUG
rnacentral:rRNA from 1 species